UCCAUCGUAUAUCAUCGCGACGCCACCACCACUUUCCUCCUCGCCGCUGGCCGUGUCCGACCAUCUCUCUCAGCCUCAUCUCCCUCUCCCCCUUCCUGUUGCUCGAGUAUUUAUGUAAACAUAAGCUCUAAAACGUUUUGUCGCUUCCCAUUUUUCUACGCGGCAGCAAGAGGCAACGAAGGAGGAGGAGGGAGGGAGCGAGCGAGAGAGCAAGAGAGAAAGAAACGACAAUCAGGAAGAAAGAUAGCGGGGAAGAGGAGGAGAAGACGACGAUGACAAGAGAAUGGGGAAUUGCUUUGGUUUGUCUUCAAGAUCUUCCACUCCUGCAGUUGCAACACCGUAAGUCCAGGUCUCUCGACGUCAAGGACCAGCGGCAGCGAGACGACCACCGGGAAGCUGUCGAACCUCAGCAGCAGCACGACCCUGGGGGAGUCCUCCGACAACGGCAUCAGCGCCGAGAAGGUGUUCUCGGAGGGGAGGAUCCUGGAGGCGCCCAACCUUCGUGUCUAUACCUUCGCCGAGCUCCGGAGCUCCACUAGGAACUUCAAGUCCGAGUCCGUUCUCGGAGAGGGCGGAUUGGGGAAGGUGUACAAGGGCUGGGUGGAGGAGAAGACUCUCAAUCCUUCCAAGAGCGGCGUGGGCACGUUGGUGGCCAUGAAGAAGCUCAACCUUGAAAGCGUGCAGGGGCUGGAGGAGUGGCAGGUCUGAGAUACUCUCCCUUCCUCCCCUUGUGCAAUAUCUGCUAUUCCUUCUUCUGCUUCUUUAGAUUUGUGACAUAUAACUCAUUGUGGAUUAUUGAAAAUUCAACUUUUAUUGCAGUUUGUAGUAUAAAUCAGUAAUGCCCAAUUUGUAGAUAGUUUCAAACAAGUAUAUUUUCUUAUUGCAUACCGUGGCUUCCAAAGUAAAUUCUUCCUGUAAAAUAUCGAAAAUAGGUGAAAAUUAAUAAGGGAAAUUUCUGGAAUUUUUAGAAAUUUUUUGGGAAUUUUUUGGAGCUCGUAGGGACGAGUUUAUGGGGACAAAAAUGGGGCACGGGGAAAGCCUGUUUAGGAUAUCCAUUUAAGCGAGGAAAAGUUGGAUUUAUUUUUAUUUUUCUAUUUCUUUUCCUUAUUUUCUCUUUUCCCCCGCUGUUUCCUUCCCUCGACGCCUCCUCACGCCGAACCCGUGCCUUUCCUCCCGAUUCCCCCUGCGAUGCCAAAGCCCUAACCAUCGUUCUCUCUUGCGGCGACAGUUCCCUGCUUCACGAAUUAAAGCCAAACCGAUCCCCACUCCUUUUCCUCUCCUCGACUUUGCUCCGAUUCCUCUUCUCUAGUUGACGCGACGCCAACCCUUGAUCCACCUCUGCCGGCCACCAGGUCCGACCAGUGCCGUCGACGCCUGUGCCCUAGCGUCUCCGCCAACGCCGCCUCCCGAUUCCCCACCCUUCCUCUAGUCCGACGAGACACUGCCGGCCUUCCUUCUGCCGCAGCCGCCACAGGGAGCAGCGACGCCGACUCCACAGACCUAGCGCCGACCACGGCGAGCCCUAGCCAUCUUCACGGCUGUCUUCUCCUCUUUCCCGAGCCGCAUCAAGCGUCGCCACCACCUGAGGCCGAACGGAGCAGAGCCGAUCCAUCGCUGGCGCACCAGGUGCCCUAGCACCCUCUGUCUAUCACGGCGACGCCACCUUUUGCCUUAGCAGUGAUCCUUAAGGAGGGGGAUUUCAGAUCAGUUCUUACUGUGUUUCCAGACCAGAGCUUGGAUAUUUUUCUCAGUUCUUGAUCAUCCCUUCCUUGCGGUGGAUUUAGGUCACGGUUGAGGAACAGUGAACUCUUUCUUCACAGAUCACAGGGGAGUGUUUUGCUGCCCUGCUGCUAUAUUAGAGGAUUUUGACGCGAGACAAGUAUCUCGAUUAUUCGGAUUGGACUUUUUCGAUU